AAUAAGGUGCCUGAUUAAAGGGUUAAUUUGAUAGAUUAAAUAAAGUGUUAUAUUAUUGGUAA
rnacentral:tRNA from 1 species